GAUGAAGAACGUAGCGAAAUGCGAUACGUAAUGUGAAUUGCAGAAUUCAGUGAAUCAUCGAGUCUUUGAACGCACAUUGCGCCCCCUGGUAUUCCGGGGGGCAUGCCUGUCCGAGCGUCAUUGCUGCCCUCAAGCACGGCUUGUGUGUUGGGCCUCCGUCCUCCUCCCGGGGGACGGGCCCGAAAGGCAGCGGCGGCACCGCGUCCGGUCCCCGAGCGUAUGGGGCUUCGUCACCCGCUCUUGUAGGCCCGGCCGGCGCUUGCCGACACAUCAAUCUUUUUUCCAGGUUGACCUCGGAUCAGGUAGGGAUACCCGCUGAACUUAAGCAUAUCAAUAAGCGGAGGA
rnacentral:misc_RNA from 1 species